UACAGAGGGCUCAAGCGUUGUUCGGAUUCAUUGGGCGUAAAGGGUGCGUAGGUGGCUCUGUAAGUCGGGUGUGAAAUUUCGGAGCUUAACUCCGAAACUGCAUUCGAUACUGCGGUGCUUGAGGACUGGAGAGGAGACUGGAAUUCAUGGUGUAGCAGUGAAAUGCGUAGAGAUCAUGAGGAAGACCAGUGGCGAAGGCGGGUCUCUGGACAGUUACUGACACUGAGACACGAAGGCCAGGGGAGCAAACGGG
rnacentral:rRNA from 1 species